rnacentral:misc_RNA from 1 species
GAUGAAGAACGCAGCGAAAUGCGAUACGUAAUGUGAAUUGCAGAAUUCAGUGAAUCAUCGAGUCUUUGAACGCACAUUGCGCCCCCUGGUAUUCCGGGGGGCAUGCCUGUCCGAGCGUCAUUGCUGCCCUCAAGCACGGCUUGUGUGUUGGGCCUCCGUCCUCCUCCCGGGGGACGGGCCCGAAAGGCAGCGGCGGCACCGCGUCCGGUCCUCGAGCGUAUGGGGCUUCGUCACCCGCUCUUGUAGGCCCGGCCGGCGCUUGCCGACACAUCAAUCUUUUUUCCAGGUUGAUCUCGGAUCAGGUAGGGAUACCCGCUGAACUUAAGCAUAUCAAUAAGCGGAGGA